UAUUUAUACACAUAGACUCAAAUAUUUACAGAAUCCUCUUUGAUAAUCUCAAAUAUUCCUUAAUUAGGAAACUGAAAUCUGACAGUUUGGAAUAUCUUUGAUCCAUUGGUAUGAACUAUGAAAGAAGCUGCGUUAUUUACAGUUUUGACGGAUUGUUUUUCUUUUACUUAGGCUCAAUAUAUCUUGAAACUAGUUAAGAUAUCAGGCAUUACCAUUGCUGCUUCAAGGGUUAAGGAAAAAGCUACUUAUGUGCAAUUAAUCUGCAAGAACCGUAACAGUUCAAGGACGGUUACCUGCCGCCCAGGGCUUGGUGGAGCAAUUGUUCCCCGAUCAUGUGACCAUGUUCCCCAGCCCGGAGAAGAACCUUGUCCCAUUGAUCCCUGGAUCGUGGUUCCUGAGAGGAGCAAGAAUGUCGACCAACAAACCUUGACACUGCAGGAGAACCCAGAGGUGAACUUCCUAGAAAUAUGUUGCUUUUGGUGGAUCGGCAUUUGGUUCAAACCAUUGUACCUGGUACAAGAUUGACAAUAAUGGGGAUUUAUAGUAUCUUUCAAGCUGCCAAUUCAUCAACAAAGUAAG